GCUGAUGUGAGAGCAUGAUCAGCCUCGAUGGGACUGCGACACGGCCCAUACUCCUACGGGAGGCAGCAGUGAAGAAUCUUCCGCAAUGGACGAAAGUCUGACGGAGCAACACCGCGUGGAGGACGACGGCCUUCGGGUUGUAAACUCCUUUUCUGAGGGAACAAGUAUGAGGGUACCUCAGGAAUAAGGCGCUGCUAACUACGUGCCAGCAGCAGCGGUAAUACGUAGGCGCCAAGCGUUAUCCGGAAUUACUGGGCGUAAAGAGUCUGUAGGCGGCGGAUAAAGUCGAGUGUUAAAUUUUCAUGCUCAACGUGAAAAAUGUACUCGAAACUUAUUUGCUUAGAGUCUGAGAGAGGCUACUGGAAUUCCCAUUGAAGGAGUAAAAUCCGUAGAUAAUGGGAGGAACACCAAAAGCGAAGGCAGGUAGCUGGAUCAGGACUGACGCUGAGAGACGAAAGCGUGGGUAGCGAACAGGAUUAGAUACCCUGGUAGUCCACGCCGUAAACGAUGAGUGCUAGGCGUUGGAGAGUCAUUUCGACCCUUUCCAGUGUCUAAAGUUAACACGUUAAGCACUCCGCCUGGGGAGUACGAGCGCAAGCUUAAAACUCAAAGGAAUAGACGGGGGCCCGCACAAGCGGUGGAGCAUGUGGUUUAAUUCGACAAUAAGCGAGGAACCUCACCUGGGCUUGACAUCUCAAGAAUCCUCUGGAAACAGAGGAGUGCCCGCAAGGGAAUUUGAUGACAGGCGCUGCAUGGUUGUCGUCAGCUCGUGCCCUGAGGUGUUCGGUUAAGUCCGUAAACGAGCGCAACCCUUAUCGUAUGUUGUAUUUUUCAUACGAGACUGCCGGUUUUACACCGGAGGAAGGUGGGGAUGACGUCAAAUCAGCAUGGCCCUUAUGUCCAGGGCGACACACGUGCUACAAUGGGGAGUACAAUGGGUAGCCAAGGCGCAAGCCGGAGCUAAUCCUCAAAACUCCUCUCAGUUCGGAUUGAGGGCUGCAAUUCGCCCUCAUGAAGUUGGAAUCGCUAGUAACCGCAGAUCAGCCACGCUGCGGUGAAUAUGUUCCCGGGCCUUGUACUCACCGCCCGUCACGUCAUGGAAGAUGGGAGCACUUGAAGCACC
rnacentral:rRNA from 1 species